CCCCGACAUCCUUCCCUCCAAGAACUUCCCACCUUGCUCUUGGGGAGACUCGAACUCACAACCUCUCGGUUGAAAGUGGGGGUUGCCGGGAGGUAUAACCUCAGGGCAUUAUUAAGUUCAGCAUGAUGCGACGGUUUUAAUACAAAACCUGAGCAGAACAAAUAUCAUACAAGAUCUCAGGUAGUUUAAUAGCUUAUUUUCAUUGAAGAACAUUCAGGUAUAUCAAGAGUUUUACGUGUUACCUCUCUACUAAAAUAAAUGCACAACCAAUGCCACGUGAAGGCUGACCACGAAAGCCGGUACUCAGCUACGAACUCAGCUCGUGAACAAAACAGCUAACCAGUAGUUACAUAGCUCCAAGAUCAGUCAAAUUCCCAGAAAAUUGCAGCGAAAGAACAAAAAAAGGACCAGAUUUGUGCGUCUGUUCGUGAGUAAAGAAGCGGACUUGUGGUCAAAGGUGGUUGACGACUGAUUUAGAGUGGAGAUUUUUUGUUUUGGAGUGGGGAGGUCCCGUUGUCUUAUGUCUUCUAUGGAAAGCGUCAUUCUCUGUAUUCCUAGGGUCUAGGAUUUGAUCUUUAGCUUGGAGAAAAAUGAAGGAGAAGAUCGAAGCAGGGGAGGGCCUUGUGCCGCUUUUUUUAUCUUCGAUAGAGGAGUCCCUUUUUUUUUGUUUCCAAAUUAGUCAUUUUAUAGGUAGCGAUACAGUAAAGGGUAA
rnacentral:lncRNA from 1 species